rnacentral:tRNA from 1 species
AGGGUGGUAGAGUGGCUGAUUACGGCAGACUUAAACUCUGUUAGCUCCAUUGGGGCUCGGGGGUUCGAAUCCCCCUCCU